rnacentral:rRNA from 1 species
GAGCUCGUAGGCGGUUUGUCGCGUCUGCCGUGAAAGUCCGGGGCUUAACUCCGGAUCUGCGGUAGGUACGGGCAGACUUGAGUGAUGUAGGGGAGACUGGAAUUCCUGGUGUAGCGGUGAAAUGCGCAGAUAUCAGGAGGAACACCGAUGGCGAAGGCAGGUCUCUGGGCAUUAACUGACGCUGAGGAGCGAAAGCAUGGGGAGCGAACAGGAUUAGAUACCCUGGUAGUCCAUGCCGUAAACGUUGGGCACUAGGUGUGGGGGACAUUCCACGUUUUCCGCGCCGUAGCUAACGCAUUAAGUGCCCCGCCUGGGGAGUACGGCCGCAAGGCUAAAACUCAAAGGAAUUGACGGGGGCCCGCACAAGCGGCGGAGCAUGCGGAUUAAUUCGAUGCAACGCGAAGAACCUUACCAAGGCUUGACAUGAACCGGAACGGCGCAGAGAUGUGUCGGCCACUUGUGGCCGGUUUACAGGUGGUGCAUGGUUGUCGUCAGCUCGUGUCGUGAGAUGUUGGGUUAAGUCCCGCAACGAGCGCAACCCUCGUUCCAUGUUGCCAGCGGGUUAUGCCGGGGACUCAUGGGAGACUGCCGGGGUCAACUCGGAGGAAGGUGGGGACGACGUCAAAUCAUCAUGCCCCUUAUGUCUUGGGCUUCACGCAUGCUACAAUGGCCGGUACAAAGGGUUGCGAUGCUGUGAGGUGGAGCUAAUCCCAAAAAGCCGGUCUCAGUUCGGAUUGAGGUCUGCAACUCGACCUCAUGAAGUCGGAGUCGCUAGUAAUCGCAGAUCAGCAA